rnacentral:rRNA from 1 species
UACGUAGGGAGCAAGCGUUGUCCGGAAUCAUUGGGCGUAAAGGGCGCGCAGGCGGCCUGUUAAGUCAAGUGUGAAAAUCAACGGCUCAACCGUUGAACUGCGCUUGAAACUGGCGGGCUAGAGAUCAGGAGAGGAAAGUGGAAUUCCUAGUGUAGCGGUGAAAUGCGUAGAUAUUAGGAAGAACAUCGAUGGCGAAGGCAGCUUUCUGGACUGACACUGACGCUGAGGCGCGAAAGCGUGGGGAGCAAACAGG